rnacentral:rRNA from 1 species
GACGAACGCUGGCGGCGUGCUUAACACAUGCAAGUCGAACGGAAAGGCCCUGCUUGCAGGGUGCUCGAGUGGCGAACGGGUGAGUAACACGUGGGUGAUCUGCCCCUUACUUUGGGAUAAGCCUGGGAAACUGGGUCUAAUACUGGAUAGGACCAUGCUGUAGGUGGUGUGGUGGAAAGAUUUUUUCGGUAAGGGAUGAGCUCGCGGCCUAUCAGCUUGUUGGUGGGGUAAUGGCCUACCAAGGCGUCGACGGGUAGCCGGCCUGAGAGGGUGGACGGCCACAUUGGGACUGAGAUACGGCCCAGACUCCUACGGGAGGCAGCAGUGGGGAAUAUUGCACAAUGGGCGCAAGCCUGAUGCAGCGACGCCGCGUGGGGGAUGACGGCCUUCGGGUUGUAAACGCCUUUCAGCCAUGACGAAGCCUCUUUUGGGGUGACGGUAGUGGUAGAAGAAGCACCGGCUAACUACGUG